rnacentral:rRNA from 1 species
ACCGAAUCGUUUCCAGUGUCUAUAAUCUGCGAUAUAUUUCAUCGGCGAAUGUGUGCGUGCGUGUACUAUGGCAGCGGCUUUUUGGCUGCGCUUGGUAUAUGUGCUGUGCUUCCUUGCUGGCGCCCUGUAUUGUGGUGGGACGCCAAUGUCAGUUCGUAAACCGCGGGAAAUGACUACCGAGGAGGUAAGGCUUACGCUUGCGUUUGUCUGUUAUAUCUUGGUGGACGAGUAGUUGUGGUUGGGACUGAGGUGCCUACAACGUGCUUUUGAGUGGGACUGCGUCUCCGUGUGCGCCGUGUGCGGAUAGCUUGCUAUAUGCGUGUGGUUGUGUAUGGAUUGAUGCGGACUUUAACUUGUUGCCGUUCGGGACGUUGGCGAAAUGGAGCGAUUUGACCCGUCUUGAAACACGGACCAAGGAGUCUAACAUGUGUGCAAGUGUUAGGGUGUCGAAACCCGGACGCGUAAUUAACGUGAAGGGCAGCGCAAGCUGUCUGAGGUAGGAAACGUUGCGGACUUCGGUCUGCGAUGUGGCACUAUCGACCGAUCAUGAACCUUCGUGGUGAAAGAUUUGAGUUUGAGCACAUAUGUUGGUACCCGAAAGAUGGUGAACUAUGCCUGAGUAGAGUGAAGCCAGGGGAAACUCUGGUGGAAGCUCGUAGCGAUUCUGACGUGCAAAUCGAUCGUUGAACUUGGGUAUAGGGGCGAAAGACUAAUCGAACCAUCUAGUAGCUGGUUCCCUCCGAAAUCUCCCUCAGGAUAGCAACAACUUAUUUACGAUAGUUUUAUGAGGUAAAGCGAAUGAUUAGAGGAUUCGGGGAA